UGGGGAAUAUUGGACAAUGGGCGAAAGCCUGAUCCAGCCAUGCCGCGUGAGUGAUGAAGGCCCUAGGGUUGUAAAGCUCUUUCACCGGUGAAGAUAAUGACGGUAACCGGAGAAGAAGCCCCGGCUAACUUCGUGCCAGCAGCCGCGGUAAUACGAAGGGGGCUAGCGUUGUUCGGAAUUACUGGGCGUAAAGCGCACGUAGGCGGACUAUUAAGUCAGGGGUGAAAUCCUGGAGCUCAACUCCAGAACUGCCUUUGAUACUGAUGGUCUCGAGUCCGGAAGAGGUGAGUGGAAUUCCGAGUGUAGAGGUGAAAUUCGUAGAUAUUCGGAGGAACACCAGUGGCGAAGGCGGCUCACUGGUCCGGUACUGACGCUGAGGUGCGAAAGCGUGGGGAGCAAACAGG
rnacentral:rRNA from 1 species